rnacentral:rRNA from 1 species
CGUCUAGGCGGGCUGGUAAGUCAGAUGUGAAAUCCUACGGCUCAACCGUAGAACUGCAUUUGAAACUAUUAGUCUUGAGUACGGAAGAGGAAGGCGGAAUUCCUGGUGUAGCGGUGAAAUGCGUAGAUAUCAGGAAGAACACCGGUGGCGAAGGCGGCCUUCUGGUCCGAUACUGACGCUAAGCGCGAAAGUGUGGGGAGCAAACA